GACGAACGCUGGCGGCGUGCCUAAUACAUGCAAGUCGAGCGGACGAAUCGAAAGCUUGCUUUUGAUUCGUUAGCGGCGACCGGGUGAGUAACACGUGGGCAACCUGCCCUGUAGACGGGGAUAACACCGAGAAAUCGGUGCUAAUACCGGAUAACACGAAAUGUCUCAUGACGUUUCGUUUAAAGACCGCGCAAGCUGUCGCUACAGGAUGGGCCCCCGGGGCUUUAGCUAGAUGGUGAGGUAACGGCCCACCAAGGCAGCGGUGCGUAGCCGACAUGGGGGGGUGAACGGCCACGCGAGGGUUUAGACACAGCCCAGACUCCUACGGGAGGCAACAGUGGGGAAGUGAUCACAAUGGGCGAGUGUCGGUCGAAGGAACACGGCGUGAACGAAGAAGGCUUUCGGGUCGAAAAGCUGUGUUGUUAGAGAGGAACAGGUAACGCAGUAACGGGCGUUACCGUGACUGUACCUAACAAGAAAGCCACGGCUAACUACGUG
rnacentral:rRNA from 1 species